rnacentral:rRNA from 1 species
CGCGCAGGCGGUCCUUCAAGUCAGAGGUGAAAGCCCAGGGCUCAACCCUGGAACUGCCUUUGAAACUGGAGGACUUGAGUACGGGAGAGGUGAGUGGAAUUCCGAGUGUAGAGGUGAAAUUCGUAGAUAUUCGGAAGAACACCAGUGGCGAAGGCGGCUCACUGGCCCGUUACUGACGCUCAGGCGCGACAGCGUGGGGAGCAAACAGGAUUAGAUACCCUGGUAGUCCACGCCGUAAACGAUGGAUGCUAGCCGUUGGUAAGCAUGCUUAUCAGUGGCGCAGCUAACGCAUUAAGCAUCCCGCCUGGGGAGUACGGCCGCAAGGUUGAA